GACGAACGCUGGCGGCGUGCUUAACACAUGCAAGUCGAACGGAAAGUCCCUGCUUUUGUGGUGUGCUCGAGUGGCGAACGGGUGUGUAACACGUGAGUAACCUGCCCUUGACUUUGGGUUAACUUCAGGAAACUGGUGCUAAUACCGGAUAGGAGCUCCUGCUACAUUGUGGGGGUUUGCAAGUUUCGUCGGAUGUGGAUGGACUCGCGGCUUAUCAGCUUGUUGGUGGGGUAGUGGAUUACCAGGGCUUUGACGGGUAGCCGGCCCGAGAGGGUGACAGGACACAUUGGGUGUGUGAUACGGCCCAGACUACUACGGGACACAGCAGGCGGGAAGAGUGCACGACGGGGGCAAGACAGAGGCAGGAACGCCGCGUGCGGGAUGACGGCCUACGCGUUGUAAACCGCUUUCGCUUGUGACGAAGCGUGAGUGACGGUAAUGAGUAAAGAAGCACAGGCUAACUACGUG
rnacentral:rRNA from 1 species